UGCCCUAGUAACGGCGAGUGAAGCGGCAACAGCUCAAAUUUGAAAUCUGGCUCCCUCGGGGGUCCGAGUUGUAAUUUGCAGAGGGUGCUUUGGCAUCGGCGGCGGUCUAAGUUCCUUGGAACAGGACAUCCUAGAGGGUGAGAAUCCCGUACGUGGGCGCCUGCCUUUGCCGUGUAAAGCCCCUUCGACGAGUCGAGUUGUUUGGGAAUGCAGCUCUAAAUGGGAGGUAAAUUUCUUCUAAAGCUAAAUACCGGCCAGAGACCGAUAGCGCACAAGUAGAGUGAUCGAAAGAUGAAAAGUACUUUGGAAAGAGAGUCAAAUAGCACGUGAAAUUGUUGAAAGGGAAGCGCUUGCAGCCAGACUUGCCCGCAGUCGCUCACCCAGGCUCCGGCCUGGGGCACUCUUCUGCGGGCAGGCCAGCAUCAGUUUGGGCGGUUGGAUAAAGGCCUCUGUCACGUAUCUCCCUCCGGGGUGACCUUAUAGGGGAGGCGUAAUGCAACCAGCCCGGACUGAGGUCCGCGCAUCUGCUAGGAUGCUGGCGUAAUGGCUGUAAGCGGCCCGUCUUGAAACACGGACCAAGGAGUCUAACAUCUAUGCGAGUGUUUGGGUGUCAAGCCCGGACGCGUAAUGAAAGUGAACGGAGGUGGGAACCCUCACGGGUGCACCAUCGACCGAUCCUGAUGUCUUCGGAUGGAUUUGAGUAAGAGCAUAGCUGUUGGGACCCGAAAGAUGGUGAACUAUGCUUGAAUAGGGUGAAGCCAGAGGAAACUCUGGUGGAGGCUCGCAGCGGUUCUGACGUGCAAAUCGAUCGUCAAAUUUGGGCAUAGGGGCGAAAGACUAAUCGA
rnacentral:rRNA from 1 species